UUGACCUCAAAUCAGGUAAGAAUACC
rnacentral:rRNA from 2 species